AUCAUAACAAUCGUUCGGAGCAUACGAACAAGCAGCUGUCUUACAUUGCCAUAAACGUCAUUGUUGCUACUAAUGCCGUCCUCGGUGUAUUAAAGAUGCAACAUCGCCAAUGUUUAUGCAUCAGACAACGUCGUGAACAUGCUGUUGACUCGGUUGGCCAACAAAAGAAUUUCGAAUUUACCACAGCGCUGCAUACACAGCAGCAUAGUGAUACAAACCACAGUUAAAGUGUGCUUGUGUGCAGCAGGGAAAAUGAAAAAGAAAACAAAAUAAAUUGUAGAGAAAUGCAGUUGAGGCGCAGCUAAGCAUUCAAAAUAUCAAGCUAACAAUUCAAAAUACAAGACGAUUUUAUUGCACUUAACACCCAAGAGAGUACCUACUCAACUGCUUCCGUGGGAAAUUUCUUUUUGUGUUAAUGAAACACAGGCCUUCGCGCAUUAGUGAACUCAAUGCCUCUACAAUUCACUAAAUUAAUUACAAUUAUAAACCUUCAAUAGUAUAUCAACCUCAUUUUUCUACUGGGAUGUAUUCAUACGGAGUAUAAGCGCAAAACAAAUAACCAUUGAACAGCAAAACAAAAACUACAUGAGCAAACAAACAAUGCAUUCGCAUUUUUUUGCAUACCAACAAAGUGCACAAACAAAAUACGAUCAACUAAACAAGAACAUGCAUGACCAAAGCAGAAGCAGCGCAGUUGACAAUGGAAAAUUUUCGUGUGCGGUCAAUAGCUAAAACACCUGUUCGGAUCUUUGUUCGCGUACGCAGGCAAUUGUGAAAGUAAAGAAGAUUUGUGCAAGAAUUUGUGUUUAUUAUUUAAAAUUGCGUUUAAUCGGUGCUCGGUAUUAUUAAUAAGUGAAUUUGAUUAAAUAAAAGUGUGUUCUGUAAAGUGAAUUAGUUUAUGUAUUCAAGUGUUAAGCAAAAUAUGCAAUGAAAAGAAGAGGAAAUAAGUGAAAAGUGUUUAAAUGGAAAGUGUAAUAAAAUUAGUGCCAAUAAAGUGUGCAUAAUUAAAUGGAGCAAAGUUAUUCAAUUAUUCAUGUUUUUGAAAAAAUGUAUGGCCUGUUUGUAAAGUGCUUCGAAAUAAUCGUAUUUGUGUUAUUCGAUCGUGCGCUUGUAGCCUUCGUAGGCAUUAAUAAAUAACAAAAAAUAAUUUCAUCAUUCAGCUAAAUUAUCUACAUACAUACAUACGUACAAGAAAUACCAACGGGGUGUGUGUAUUGUUUGCGGAGGUGAAGACAUUUCUAUAUAACAAAUCGCAAAAAGUGAAAAGUGUAAUGUGUAAUGUGUGUGUGUGUUAAGGCUGUAAACAUACUGAAGCAUCGAAAAUACCGAUAUUUAUCUUGGAGCAUAGCUGCUCCCCAUUUGCGUUAACUCGUGUGCAGCUUGUGUUGUCUUUGUGUGACCUUUGAUUGCGGGUCGGUAUUUGCUUUACGCUUCCAUGGCUUAAGAAUACAAUUACAACAACAACAAUAAGAUACCAAUUUCCAACACUAAAUGUAUCUUCGCAGGUCUUGACGCUAACAUUUUGAAAAUUCUGAUCGACUCUAACAAUCGUACUCGUUCGUGGAAGAGUAAAAGUCGGCGAAUACUAUGUUAAGAAAUGAGAGCCUCCCAGCACAAUUAUUUUUACCAAAUUUACAUGGUGUAAACGCGGCGAAGCGAAGGCGUGCAUUGAAGUAAGCGAUUAGUACCAGGUUUGGUACGUUGAGCUAGCGCACGCAUACAAAUCACUUUCCAGCAUUGACAUGUUAACAUCUAAACUUGACGCAACGCCAUCGCAUGGCAGCGAACUCUUCAAACUCGCUUAUAUGCAAAAGCACUGCAGCACGCUGAUUGCCGAGAGGUAUUCCACACAAAUCAAGCCGCAUGUGGAGAAGCUGUGCUUAAUUAUUCAUUAUAUAACCACAUCUCUGUAUUUUGUUUGUUUUUAUUUUUGAGACUUUUUUUUAAGAUUAACAUUACAAAAAUAAAAAAGUAAAAAAAAAUAGAUAAUGAAAACAGUCGAAAGACAUUCAUGAAUAUACUAAACAUAAUUUAGAAUAACAAAACUGAACUCUUAUUGAAGAAAACAUGUAUUUUUUAGUAAAAUCCAA
rnacentral:lncRNA from 1 species